GGCCCUCGGCUGACGGCUCAGUAACACGUGGAUAAUCUGCCCUUAGGUGGAGGAUACCCUCGGGAAACUGAGAAUAAUACUCCAUGGGUCUAAGAUACUGGAAUGUACUUAGGCUGAAAACUCCGGUGCCUAAGGAUGAGUCUGCGGACUAUCAGGUAGUAGUCAGGGUAAUGACCUGACUAGCCUACGACGGAUACGGGUUGUGAGAGCAAUAACCCGGAGAUGAUAUCUGAGACACGAUAUCAGGCCCUACGGGGCGCAGCAGGCGCGAAAACUUCACACUGUGCGAAAGCGCGAUGAGGGAAUCCCAAGUGUAUGCACGUAAGUGUAUACUGUUUCUUUGUUUAAAAUGCAGAGAGAGUAAGGGCUGGGUAAGACGGGUGCCAGCCGCCGCGGUAAUACCUGCAGCUCAAGUGGUGACCACUAUUAUUGGGCCUAAAACGUUCGUAGCCGGUUUAUUAAAUGCCUGGGUAAAUCGUACGGCUUAACCGUACGAAUUCUGGGUAGACUGAUAGACUUGAGACCGGGAGAGGCUAGAGGUACUCCUGGGGUAGAGGUGAAAUUCUGUAAUCCUGGGGGGACCACCAGUGGCGAAGGCGUCUAGCUAGAACGGGUCUGACGGUGAGGGACGAAGCCCUGGGGCGCAAACCGGAUUAGAUACCCGGGUAGUCCAGGGUGUAAACGCUGCUUGCUUGAUGUUAGUCGGGCUCCGAGCCCGAUUAGUGUCGGAGAGAAGUUGUUAAGCAAGCUGC
rnacentral:rRNA from 1 species